rnacentral:lncRNA from 1 species
UGUCGUUCAUGGAUGUCAUAUGGACAUGUUGUUGGUCUUCCAGGAAGCGGAUCCGGCGAGGGGUGCUCUAGUGAAGGCGUGGGGGUAGGCGGUGGCUGAUGAUAGUCUCCUCGUGUGGUGGACAGCACGCCAACUUUGCAAACGAUGAGAAAGAGCACGAUCCACCACAAAACAGCAGAAGAGAAAGCAGGAAGAAAAGGGAGCAGGGUCGACCGAGAGAGAAGUAGAGCUGACCCAGAGAGCGGUAUCUUCACAAAUGGAGAGGUUUGUGUUUUCUGUAGGUGGUAGAAAAAAGAGACAGAGGAUGAGAGACAACAGAGAGGGAGAGUACCUGUUUGUUUGCUGGUUUUUUUUAAAAAGAGUUAAUUUCCAGAAAUAACAAUGAAGUUACUGAUUGAAACAUUGGUCCACCACCCUCAGGUCAAUGAUGAAGAAUUGCAGGGUUCUUGGUUAUUUCUUCUGGUCUAGAAGUCUUUGCCGUGUAACAAUCUAUCACGGUAUGAAAGAUGCACGUAUUAUAGGGUAGAAAUCAAUGGCAAAGGGAAGAGAUGAAAGAAGAAGGACCUUCAAAAUCCUAAAAAAAAUAUUAUUAAUAUAUUUUUUUUCAUUUUAUUUGUUGUCCAUAUUUUAUUUUUUAAUAAUAUUAUUAAAUUAACCGAGUCAGUUGACAAAAAUAUUAAAUCACAUUGCUUUUAAAAUAUUUUAUAUUUCAGUCUUUUGUGGCAUUAACAAUGAAGUUACUGAUUGAAACAUUGGUCCACCACCCUCAGGUCAAUGACGAAGAAUCGUAGGGUUCUUGGUUAUUUCUUCUGGUCGAGAAGUCUGUGCCGGGUAACAAUCUAUCACGGUAUGAAAGUUGCACGUAUUAUUUAGCCUGUGAUUGCUUAUAUAAUGAUAACUGUGAAGAACUGAGUUCUUUAUUUCACUUUAUUCAUCGGUGUUUCGAAUAAAUAUUAUACAGGAACACAAAGGCCUUUUAUAGACCUUUGCAAAGACUCCUAACAGACUAGGAGAUAAGUCUCGUAAGUGAUAGACUUUGUGUACAACAGACUAACGUAGAGUUCUUAACAGAAUAGGAGAUAAAUGUUACGUAGAGUUCUUAACAGACUAGGAGAUAAAUAUAACAAUCUUCUACACUCCCCCUCAAGUUGGUGCAUAGAUGUUUUGCAUGCCCAACUUGUCUAACACUUGGUGAAAGACUUUACUUGACACAGCCUUAGUAAGAAUGUCUGCCAAUUGAUCUUGAGAUCGAACAUGAGGAACUUCAAUUACCUUGGCUUCCAAUUGUUCUUUAAUAAAAUGUCUGUCAAUCUCCACAUGCUUUGUUCGAUCAUGUUGAACAGGAUUGUGAGCGAUGUCACAUGCGGCCUUGUUAUCACAAUAUAACUUCAUAGGAGAUGUUGUUGAAAUCCUGAGUUCCUGUAGCAAAUUUUUAAUCCACAACAGCUCACAUACACCUUUAGCCAUGCCUCUAUACUCUGCUUCCGCACUAGAUCUAGCGACAACUCCCUGUUUCUUGCUUCGCCAUGUAACCAAGUUUCCACCAACAAACGUCAAGUAUCCUGCAGUUAAACGCCUAUCAUCAAUUGAGCCAGCCCAAUCUGCAUCAGUGUAGCCUUCAAUGUUUAAGGUCUCUCCCUUAGUGAACACGAUUCCUUUGCCUGGAGAGGAUUUCAAAUACUGUAGGAUACGCAUUACUGCCUUCAUAUGUUCUUCACUUGGAGAGUGCAUAAAUUGGCUAACAACACUGAGAGGGUAUGCCAAGUCAGGUCUAGUGUGGGAGAGAUACAUUAACCUUCCUACUAGCCUCUGAUAUUGUUCUUUAUUUACAGGAAUCUGAUUAGAAUAUGUACUCAACUUGACAUUUUCUGCAGCAGGUGUAUCACUUGGUUUGCAGGCUAACAUGCCAACUUCAUUAAGCAAAUCAACUAUGUAUUUUCGUUGUGACAAGAGUAUACCAGUGCUGGAUCUCAAGACCUCGAUUCCUAGGAAGUACUUUAAAGGUCCGAGGUCUUUCAUUUCAAAUUCACGGGAGAGAUAAGUUUGUAGGGCUUCCUUUUCAAUAGCAUCAUUUCCUGUUACAAUCAUGUCAUCAACAUAUAUAAUUAAUAGUGUGAGCUUUCCUUCAUUAUGCUUUAUGAAGAGAGUAUGAUCAGAACUACUCUGUUGAUAACCAAAUGCCUUCAUUGAGCUUGUAAAUCUGCCAAACCAAGCUCUUGGUGAUUGCUUUAAACCAUAUAAUGAUUUGCGCAAUUUACACACUUGUUUGCUCCCUUCAACCUGUAACUUACAUCCUGGAGGUAACUCCAUGUAUACUUCUUCUUGGAGAGUCCCGUGCAGGAACGCAUUCUUUACAUCAAAUUGAUGUAGUGGCCAAUCAAAAUUUACAGCUAAUGAUAAGAGAAUGCGUACAGUAUUUAUUUUGGCCACUGGUGCAAAAGUUUCUGCAUAAUGAAUUCCAUAUGUUUGGCUAUAUCCUUUAGCCACAAGCCGAGCUUUAAACCUCUCAAUCCAUCAGCUUUGUAUUUGACUGAGAGUCCAUCUGCAUCCCACAUGUUUUCUUCCACAGGUAAAUCAACCAUCUCCCAUGUUGUUUCUUUGGAGAGAUUUCAUCUCUUCGUUCAUUGCAUUUUUCCAACUAGGAUCUUUUAUAGCUUCCUGCACAUUAUUAGGAACCUGUACAAUAGAUAAUUGAUUUGCAAAUGAUUCACGUUCCUUUGACAACCUGUGGUAAGAUACAUAAUUGUUUAUUGGAUAUUUAGGGGCAGAAGUUCGGACAGGUUCAUAACUAACUCUAGGAAUUCCUCUUGUGGUACAAUUGGGAAGGAUACAGAGUGGAAGUUCAAGAUUUACCUGAGAUUCAUUUGGUGGUGACGACUCAUGAGGACUAGGAGCAUCAAGUGAAGAUAAUUAAAGUUGUGGUACAUUCAAUUCAACUAUAUUAGGAUGAUCACACAGUGCAAGCUCAUUUGUCGUUGGCUCAGUGGUUGUAUCUGUAUGUUCUGGUCCUACCAGUUCAGGUUGUUCAAGUUCAGUCAAAGUAUGACUUAUGUUCUCACUCUGAUAAGUAAAAGACUUCAAGUCACUACUCUCCCCUCCCUGAUUUGUUGUUGCAGGAAAGUACAUUUGGUGUUCAUGAAACUGUACAUCCAUGGUAACAUACACUUUGUGAGUUGGUGGAUGGAAGCACCUGUACCCUUUCUGAUGGAGACCAUAACCAAUAAAAACACAUCGGAGGGCACAUGGUUGAAGUUUAUGGCGAGCAUGUUUUGGUAUGUGUACAAAGGCAGUGCAACCAAACACUUUUGGGGGCAAGUUCAGUAUGAGUGAUGAGGGUAGGCUUUGAUUUAAUGUUUCAAGAGGUGUUUGGAAGUCUAAGCUGCGAGAUGGAAUACGGUUUAUCACAUAUGAAGCAGUGGCAAGUGAUUCUCCCCAAAAAUGAAGGGGCAUUUUGGCUUCAAUAAUUGUAGCUCGAACCAUUUCCAGAAGAUGUCUAUUUUUUCUUUCUGCAACCCCAUUUUGCUGAGGGGUAUAGGGGCAUGUAGUCUGGUGAAUUAUGCCCUGACCAUGUAAAAAUUUCCUCAUCUCAUGAUUGACAAACUCUCCACCAUUAUCAGUGCGAAGGACUUGAAUUGAAGUUUUAUAUUGAGUAGCAACCAUUGAAUAAAACUGUUUAAAGAGUGAGCAUACAUCCUGCUUUGUUUUCAUCAAACACACCCAGGUCAUGCGACUAUAAUCAUCAAUAAAAGACACAAACCAACGUGCUCCAUUCAGAGUUGGAACUUUUGCAGGACCCCAAACAUCAGAAUGUAUAAGUGUAAAUGGUGCAGAACUUUUAUUCAAACUUGGCAGAAAUGGAACACGGUGGCUCUUUGCCAAUUCACAGGUUUCACAUUUGAGUACUGGUAGAGAUGUGUUUGAAAAUAGCUCAGGAAGCAAAUGUUUUAAAUAUCCAAAUGAAAUAUGUCCAAAUCGCUUGUGCCACAACCAAAUAUUAGCAGUGGAUGUUGAACUGGUAACUGCUAAUGACUGAGCCAAUGCAUUUGAGCUAGAUGACGUGAGAUCAAGGUAAUAUAGCUUUCCUUUUUUAGUACCACAACCAAUCGUCCUCCUUGUCUUGAUGUCCUUGAAAACACAAUGAUCAGGCCAAAAAAUUACAACACAAUGCAAGGAAGUUGUAAUUUGAGAGACAGAUAUCAAAUUAAAAUUAAGGGAAGGAACUAUAAGAACAAUAUCUAAAUUGAGUUUACUUAAAGAAAAUGAACCUUUGCCAAUAACUGUGGCUUCUGUUCCAUUGGCUGUAGACACAACAUAUUUUUCAGAUGGUUUUAAUUUAGAAACAGGGGAGGUAGUGUCAAAGGACAUAUGAUCAGUUGAUCCAGAAUCAAUAAUCCAUGCACAAGAUCCAAUAGGUGCAGGUUUAUCAGAAGACUUACCUGGUGAGUUGGAGGAGGUGUGUAAUGCAGUAGCAUUGGCAUUCGGUAAAGAUACUUCAGCUAUGGCGGUGGAUACUGUUGAUGUAGUUGCAGUUUUGCCUUUAUGUUUUGGAGCCUUGGAAUGAUCCCACCAUUCAGGGUAUCCAAUCAAGUCAUAACAUCGACUUUUAGUGUGUCCGGUGUCUCCACAAUGAGUACAAUAUCUAGAUGAGCCAGACUGUUUAUUUCCAAUAUCAAAACUUCGAGAUGUCGCCACUGAACCAGGGUGAGUUUGUCGGAUAGGUGGUGUGUUUCGGCGAGCUAACAUGGCCAUAGAAUCAGGAGCAGUCAAGUCAUUUGUAAGAAGAAUUCGACGAUUUGCUUCACGACGAACAUAUGCAUAUGUGCGUUCAAGAUCAAGGCUUGGAUCCAUGCGAAGGAUUUCUCCCCGUACUUGUUCAAAUUCAGCAUCAAGACCAUUUAAGAAGAUAUGUAUCCUCAAUUUUUCAACUGAUGCUUUAUACAUAAUGAUAUCUUCAGGGUCCCUCAUCUUAACUUUAUCACGAUAAUCAAGUUCUUGAAAUAUCUCUACCAGCUCACCAUAAUAUGUAGGAAGAGAUCGACUUGAUUGACGAAUGGAGAAGGCACGUUGAUUGAGAUGAAAUAUUUGUGUUUCAUCUGAUCCGUCAUAGAAUGCUUUAGCAAGAGCACUCCAGAUUUCACGAGUAGUACGUAGGCGAAGGUACCUCUUCAUGAUCUCUGAUGACAUGGAUGUGAGUAACCAACCUUUAAUUUUUUGAUUUUCAGCAUACCACUUCGAAUAAGAGGGGUCUGUUGGUUCGGGUUGAGAUGAGUCACCAAUGAUAUAAUUGAGUUUCUCACGAUCAGCAAUAUGCAUCUCAAUUAUUUGGGACCAGGUGUCAUAAUUGGUUUCGGUGAGAAUUAUGCCAGCAUUGAAACCUGAAUUCUCAGAUUGGACAUGUAUAACAGGAGAGGAUGAUACGAGGGUUGAUUCGGUAGCCAUCGUAUUGAGGGAUAGCUUGAUUCAAUAAGUUUGCAGGGAUUUAGAAAACCUGCUCUGAUACCAUGAAGAACUGAGUUCUUUAUUUCACUUUAUUCAUCUGUGUUUCGAAUAUUUAUUAUACAGGAACACAAAGGCCUUUUAUAGACCUUUGCAAAGACUCCUAACAGACUAGGAGAUAAGUCUCGUAAGUGAUAGACUUUGUGUACAACAGACUAACGUAGAGUUCUUAACAGAAUAGGAGAGAAAUGUUACGUAGAGUUCUUAACAGACUAGGAGAUAAAUAUAACAAUCUUCUACAAACUGGAGGUUUAUAUAAUCGUUAAUUUUAAAACCGGUAAAAUUAAUCGAGGUGCACGUAAACUGACCGGACAUCUACAUUAAUAAUAAAAAAAAAACAUGCAAGUAUUAUAAGUCUCAGGUGGUAUAAUUCAAGUUGCCAUUUUGAUAUUAAAAUAACACAUUUCCAGGCCUUAUAUUUAAUAGUUUUAUGCUUAAAAAAAAAAGAGCUUGGCGUAUCACAUCCACCUAAUUAGUAUUAUCUAUAAAAAUCAAGGUUGUCAAUUUCGUUUCGGUAGGUGUUUCGUUUUUUCAAUUGGAAUGAAAUGUUUCAGUUUCGGAGUGUUUACUGUUCAUAUAUAUAUUCAACAAACAUAAUUUUAAUUCAAGAUAAAUUAAUUAUAAAUUAUGCAAUACAAACACAAUGCCAAAUAAAUAUAAUUUCAAAAUUUAAAAUAUUUCUAAAUAGUCAAGAUUAAAUAGAUCUUUAACUUAAAGUAAUUCAACUUAAACGAAAUAUCAAAAUAUUAUGAAAGUAAAAUCUUUUAACAAAAAUAUUUUAAAUAUAAAAUUAAGUCAUUCUUAUCAAGUGGUUAAUAGAAUCUAAAGCAUCCCUUGUUUUGCUCAAAUUCCUACAAAGUAUAAACAUGAAAAAAAACAUGAAUAUAAACCAUAAAUAUUAGUGAUAAAUCUAAUUUUAAAAAAUUAAUAUCAUUGUUAAUGAAAAUAGUAAUAAUAAUUUUCAAUAUUAUUAUUAAUAUCAUUGCUAUUGAAAAUAGUAAUGAAAAAAAGCUUUUUAUAAUCGGAUGGUUUAAUUAAUGAAAUUGAGCAAGGUUCAAUUUGAUUCAAUGGCUUUUCAAGAGUGAAACGGAACAUGUGGAAUGAAACCGGAACGUUUCGGGUGGAAUUUAACCGAAAAAUCCGGAAUGGACCGAGAUUUAAAAUGAGAUGAAAUUUGUUCCGUUUUUUGAAUUGGUAUGAAAUAUUUUAGUCAUUCCAGAUGAAACGAAAUGAAAUUGACAACCUUGAUAAAAAUAUAAUCUGAUCCCAUCCCAUGUCACAUACUCAUUAAAAGCUUGACACGUGUAAGAUACACUCUGAUGCAACCUGUGGUACAACGACAAAGAUAUUUUAUAUUGAUUGAGAGGUUAAGGAGGCAGUCAAUAUUUUAUAUUUCAGUCUUUUGUGGCAUUAAUAAUAAUGAUAGAAACAUUGGUUUGCUUCCUCUUGGGUGUAGGACAAGCACUACGUGGCGUUUGGGCUGCCUAUACUUUAAUAUUUUUAGUAUAAUUAAUAGUGUUGAUCUCAAAAUUAUUAUUAUUAUUUUUAGUAUAAUUAAUAGUAUUAAUCUCUAAAAUAUUAUUACAUUUGGUGUUGUAAAUAAUAUGAUUUUUAUAAUAACUCAAAUUAAUGGCAAAGGGAAGAGAUGAAAGAAGAAGGAUGAAUGCAAACCUAUCCAUCAAAAUCCUUCUAUCCUCCCUGCAAUUCCUUCCAAAUUAUGUGCUACAAUGAUUUUCUUCGCGAUUGAAGUAAGUUAGACUGGAUUGCCUAAAUAUGAUGAAUAAAGGGUUGGAUUUGCAAAAUUAUUUACACAGUUUAAUUUGUUGAUUUGAUACAUCUCAAUCUGUGAAUUAAUAGAAAAGAAGAAGAAGAAGAAGCUAGUACUAAACCAAUAAGUUUACACAUAAUCCAUGAACGUAUCUCAUAGGUCACAACAUUUUCCUUCAUUAUUGGUCACUAAUAUGUUACUAUUGAAAAGAGUAACUUAACAAUGGUCUAUAGGGUCUUUUCUAGGUGUUUUAGGGUGGUUUGUAUGGGUUUUUGGUGGCCAUGAAUUAACUUAACAAGGUCUUUAGGGUCUUUUCUAGGUGUUUUGGGUAAAAAAUAGAUUGAAAAUUAGUUUUUAAAUAAAAAAAAAAACAAAAGACCAUAUUUUUUCAGUCACCAUAAUGGCUGAAUUCUAGGUUGUGUAGAGGAUGCGUCAUUUUUCCAGCCCCUUACGUACAAUUUUUUUUAAAAAUAAAGUCUUGCGCGCUAACCAUUGCUUUAUUGGGUAAGACGUUGGCCUUCGCUUGCUAGGCCUAACAAUACCUGGCCUGAUUUCUUUUUUAUUAUUUUUUUAAUUUUUAAUUUUUCUUUUUAAAUAAAUCAUUAUUUGUGUGUAUUUUAUAAAAUAAAUUUUGGGUUUAUAUUUUAAUUAUAUUGUGAUUAUUUUUAAAUGACAUUUGGUGUGUUUAAUUUUUAAAGAGAUAGAUAUGAUUCAUGUUAUUAUUUAAAUUAUCCGAGUGAAUUGAACUCAUUAGAGCCAAUUCCCUAUAUAUUAUAUAUUUUUUAAGUAUUUAUUUUUUUUCAAUAUUUUUAUGCUAAAACAAAUAAACCUUAGCGUUAUAGCGUAUCGCAGCUAGUAUUACCUGUAAACAUAUCAUCUUAUCCCAUCCCAUGUCAAAUACUCAUUAAAAUAAUUUGUUGUCAAUUAUUUUAUAUUUCAUUCUUCUGUCGCACGUGUGCGGCGGCGCGACGAUCGUCCACCCUCAAGGGAAAAAUCGGAAUAUUUAUUCCUGGAAAAAAGGGAGAGACAAGGAAUUCUUGUCUCUAUAUGUGAAAAUAUAGACUGGGAGUCGCCACCUAGUUUUCUGGUUACUAGGAACCUUAACUAGUCUUUAGAGAUCGGGUACGGAGACUGGUUGCGUAAAGGGAAGGUAUUAGCACCCCAACUACGCCCUACCUAAGGUAUGCUGCAUUGUUUUAAUGUCUGAUAAAAUUUAAAAUCGUGUUGUGGUUUUUGAAUUGUUGGUUCGUUUACGGUUUAAGAAAAGUCCUCCUCCGUAAGGAGAUCCUUAUCUUUAUCGGGUAAAAAAUUAACUAUUCGAAGUCGUCAAAAAAAAAUAUUUUUUUAAUAUCAGGAAUACGAUUUACGUAUAAAUUCAUAAUCCUUGAUACUAAAAUCAAACAAAAUAAAAUAUUUUGUUGUUUUUGAGAUUUUGGCCAAUGUUCUCUUGACUUUAAUAAACUGGUUAUUAAAGCCAAAAUGCAUGCUAAAAUAUUGUUUUUUGACAUAUGAAAAAUACGAUAUGAUUUUUUAGAUUUGAGAUACUUGGCCGUAUGCACAAAAACAUUUUUUAUUUUUUUAUUUUUGUAUUUUUUGGAAUUUUAAUAUCGGAUUUAUAUUUUUUACGAUGUAAAAAUACUGCCCGAUAUUAAUCAAAAUGACAUAAAAAAUUACGCGGAAAAAUUAUAAAAUGCUGAAAUAAUUAUUUUUGAAUUUUUUCUUUCUGAAUGUGAACAGUGCCUUUAUUGGGUAAGACAUUGGCCUUCACUUGCUAGGCCUAACAACACUUGGCCUGAUUUUUUUUUAAUUUUUAGUUUUUCUUUUUAAAUAAAUCAUUAUUUGUGUGUAUUUUAUCAAUUAAAUUUUGAGUUUAUGUUUUAAUUAUAUUGUAAUUAUUUUUAAAUGAUAUUUGAUGUAUUUAAUUUUUAAAAAGAUAGAUAUGAUUUAUAUUAUUAUUUAAAUUAACCGAGUCAAUUGAACUCAUUAGAGCCAAUUAUCUAUAUAUUAUAUUUUUUUGAAGUAUUUAUUUUUUUCAAUAUUUUUAUGCUAAAACAAAUAACCCUUAGCAUUGUAGCGAAUUGCAGCUAGUAUUACCUGUAAACGUAUCAUCUGAUCCCAUCCCAUGUCACAUACUCAUUUAUAGCUUGACACGUGUAUGAUAUACUCUAUGGUGCAACUUGUGGUACAACAACAAAGAUAUUUUAUACCGAUUGAGAGGUUAAGGAGCCGGUCAAUAUUUUAUAUUUCAGUGUUUUGUGGCAUUAAUAAUAAUGAUAGAAACAUUGGUCCACACUGUUAGUUUCUUUCAUGGCAAAGACUUUUCCCUCGGGUCGAUGAUGAAGAAUAUUUGUAGUGUUCUUGGUUAUUCCUUAUUGUCGAGAAGCUUGUGCCUUGUAGCAAUCUAUCACGGGGGUGCUUGUCAAGAAAGAUGUCCAUAUUAAAGGGUAGAAGUGGUAAAUAAAAGAGAUGACAGAAGGAGGAUGAGAGCACAUGAUCUCUCUAGGAAUUCUAUGUACAAUUAAUGCUCGAUAAUCAACUUCUUUUCGCGGUUAAAAGAUUAAAGAAUUAAUUUUUAUUAUUAAUAAUUUGUUACUCUUUCAAUAGAGAAUGGCUUUAGAUUAAAUUUUUAUUUAUUUAUACUUUAUUGAAAUUAUAUUAAAGAAAACAAAUUUCCAGCGCAAAGCAUAACAACACACCUUUUCAUUUAUUUUUUCUUAUUUUGUUUCUUUAAUUUAGUUUUAAUUAUAUCUUUUUUUUUAAAUCUGUUAGUUUAACUAUUUUUAAAUAGUAAUUAAUCUUUUGGAUGGGUUUUUAAAUUUCAUAAUAUCUCAAAGGGAUUAUUGUAAUUUAUUUUAAUUUUUUUAUUAAUUUUUUUUAUAGCUAGAUAAGUUAUAUUUGCAUUAUAUGUUUUUAAUGAUGAAAAUAAAAUGUACUUAAUAACCAUAAUAAACCUUCAAGAUACAUAAAAAAAAAAACUCAUCUGUAAAAAAUGAAAUGCCAAGUCUAUGUGUACUGUCAAGUCCAAAUCUAUUGAUGCCAGACCCAUAUAUUUAUAAUAAAUAAAUAAAUAAAAUAACACAUCAGUUAUAUUGAUUUCCUUCGCAAUUGAAGUAGGUUAGGCUGGACUGCCUAAAUAUGAUGAAUAAAGGGCUGGAUUUGCAAAAUUAUUUACACAUUUUAAUUUGUUUGUUGAUUUGAUACUUCUCAAUCUGUGAAUUUACACUGCAUUAGUAGUUAAGAACUUAGAAGGUGAACUGACAGAAAAGAAGAAGAAGAAGAAGAAGAAGCAUUAGUACAAUUUCCUAUAUUCGAUGGUCCUCGAACCUAAUAUGUUAUUACUGAAAAGAGUAAAUUUCUGAACCUAACUCACAACAAUUUCCUUCAUUAUUGCUCACUAAUAUGUUAUUACUGAAAAGAGUAAAUUUCUGAUCACUCUAUUUCUGAGAUGGCUGCCAACUCUUGGUGAAGACGUCUCGCUGGCAUCCGGCCUGCGCUGGUUCUCUUAGGGACAGAGGAGCUAAAAGGAUCAGGAGGCUUUGUUAAGUUUUCUCCUUCCCCUUCAAGCAUCUGGACAACAGUUUUCAUGGAAGGACGCUCUGCUGGGUUCCACUGAAUGCACCAUAGCCCCACAAUUGCUAGUUUCUUCGCAAUUCUAGCAUCUUCUUCUCCAUCGAUAUGAAACCGCAGGUCUUCUUCCUUUUCUAAGAGAUUAUAAAUCCAUUCCGGGAAGUAUAUCUGGUCGCCAUUUUCUGCUGUAUCAUCGACGUUCUUCCUUCCUCCAACCAUUUCCAACACUAACAUCCCAAAGCUGUAAACAUCUGAUUUAUAGGAAACAUUCCCGAAGUUCCUCGAGAACACUUCCGGGGCAAUGUAGCCAACAGUCCCCCUAGCAGUCGUCAUGGAAAUAGCACUUUUAUCCUUGGAACACAACUUAGCCAUCCCAAAAUCGGCGAUUUUGGGAUUGAAUUCGUUGUCAAGCAGGAUAUUCUGUGGUUUGAUAUCAAAAUGGAGGAUUCUUUGAUCGCACCCCUGGUGAAGAUAUUCAAUCCCCUUGGCUAUGCCUAGAGCAACACGAUUCAACCUUUCCCAGCCAAGGAAAUGGUUCCUUGAGUCUGCUGAGGUUAUGAACUGCUGUAAUGAACCAUUUGGCAAGUACUCAUAAACCAGAGCUCGUCUGAAUCCAUCAGCACAGAAACCGAUCAAGCGAACAACAUUGACAUGGUGGAUCCUUGCCAUUGUUCCCACUUCAUUGAUGAAUUCCUCCCCUUUUCCUAUGGAAUUAUUGAGGAGCUUCACAGCUACAGCAAUUUCAUUGGUCAGCUUUCCUUUGAACACGGUUCCAUAAGCUCCUUGGCCCAAUUCAUCACUGAAUUGAUUUGUGAUCCUCUUGAGAUCAGCGUAGGAGUACCUAGUGGGAUUCAGUGAUCUGUAAUCAUCCAAAAACAUUUCAACCCUGGCUUGAUGUUCUCUUUGUGUUUUAUCGUUGCUAUAGGCGCGGUACAGUGCAGUAAUCACUAUAGCAAAAAGGAAUAAUCCUAAAAUCACACCUGCAUAUCAACAUUCUGAGUCAGGAAACUCUUUUUUUCUGGGGGGGAAAGUAAUGUAUUGAACCAAGUGUAAAAUUGAGAUGGAGAUUUGAGCAGACUACUAACCAGCAAUCAGUAGCUUUCGCCGCACAUCUAGAUCUGCAAGGGAUUGAAUACUUAUUAGCUUCUCCCUUUUAGGCAAUUGGUAAAAUCAUGAAAGCAACAAAGACGAAAAGAGUUUCUCUAGUGUUUUGUUAUUUACAUAUUCAAAUGCCAAUUAUUGAUUUGAAAAAAAGGAAGAAAGAUACAAAAACAUACCUUUAGUGUGCGGAAGAAUGCUGUAGCAUUCAGUUUCAGAAGAUCCACAAGUAACUGGAUUGGACCAAGACAUAGUAAGAACAGAAUUUUCUUCCUGCAUCAUACUAUAUGGAAUUCCAUAAAUGUUGUACAUCUUGGUACAAGAUAAGAAAUCAGAGUAACUGAUGGAAAUACUUAAGUCAACGGCAUAAACUUCAUGCUUAAAAGUACUCAGACAUGGGAUUUUAUCCAUGUACGGAGGAGACCUUUUCUCACUAGAAAGUGAACAAUUGAACAAGGUCCAAUCAUACAGCCAAUCGUUUUUAAUUUGGAAGGGAGAAGCCCCUAAACUGAAGUUUAAACGUUGCCUUGGAAAGCAAUCUUGAGGAUACCUUGCAUAAAUACGUUGAUGUCUAUAGUCAAUUCUUUCGAUGUGGAGACUCAAUCCAGUUGGCAGCUUAAGCACUGUGCUGUUGUCCUCUGAGCAGGAUAGAUCAAACCCAGGACAACCACAGUGGUCUGGUUGUUUGUCCAUGUUUCGGAAAGGAAAUCGGAUGUCAGGGCCACGGUUUCCACAUGAUCCUGUGCUAUUCAAGCUUGCUCCAUGGCCUGCAAGGAAGAAAAAGAAAAAGAAAAAGAAGAACAAACACGUAACCAUUUCUGAUGAAUAAUUCAUCAUCUCCACACUCCUCCAGAUUUUAUCUGCAUGUGCUGAUAUAGUUUUGGCCUUUCAGAAAACUCAUGUAGUCCUUAGACGGCGAUUCCUUUACAGAAUUUAUUUACUCCAUCGAUCUAGUGUGAUGCUCGUCCCUUUGACAUUCCUCCACUCACAAACAUGUGGGAUCCAAUUAUUCCGUUUUAUUUAGGGGUGAGCAUAAUUUCAAACGGUUUGGUUUGGAUAAAAAAAUAUAUAUAACAGAAGUUUUUUUAAAAAAAAUAUUUAGUUCAAACGGUUUGGUUUGGAUAAAACAAUAUAUAACAGAACCAAUUUUUGUUAAUUGUUUUUUGAAUUGAAUCAAAUAAAAGAACCAAAUUAACUGGUAUUUGUUUUUUUUUUUUUUGAGUUAAUGGACCUUUAGUUGAGCAAUUUUGACAAGUUUUAGGGUAGUUGUUUACACAGCCUCAUUAUAUUUUAUAUAAAAUAUUUUUUUAAAAUUAAGUUUUUGUGUUUAUGGAUUGUUUUAAUGUGCUAAUAUUACGAAUAAAUUUUUUAAAAAAAUUAUUUUGAUACAUUUCUAAGUAAAAAACAGUUUGAAAAGAAAUCACUACCACAAUACCAAACACUAUCUAAUUUAAUGAGUUUUGAGCUUAUAACAUACCUUUAGUUUCUAAUAAGUUUUUUUUAUUUGGUUUGGAUUGAUUUUUCAAAAAGAUUUAAAAUUGAAACUCAACUGAAACGUUUUUAAUUUUUCUAACAAAAAAAAAAUUCAAAAUUCAAAAAACUGUUUGGUUAAUUUUGGGUCAAUUUCUAUGAUUAAUGUUCUCAUCCCUAAUAAUAACAAUCUCUCUAUUUACAUAGUAUUCACAUUGUAUAUGGCAAUAUGUUUAAUUUGGAAACCUAGAAUUAGCAAAAAAAAACUAGAUUCUAUCAUAUGAAUUAGAAUUACAUGAUCGCACUUAUGCCAAAAGAUUGUUCUUUUUUUGGUCAAAUUAGCAGAGUAAAUAUAAAAAUUUAAGGGAAUAACACCGUUUGAGAAAGAUUUAACAAAAUAAUUUACUUUCAACUUGUCACGCUUCAAAAGCUUGAUAUUUACUAAAUGUCGUUAUUCCAACACAUGGCAAGUAAUUGUUCUUCUUUAGAAUAGCGAUAUUUAGUAAAUGUUAUUAUUCUGAAGCAUGACAAUAAGAAACUCCAAUUUACUGACCGACUGGUUUGAUUAAGUUAUAUUAACCGGUCAAUUGUAUCACACAAAAACGAUAAUUUUAUAAUUUUGUUUAUGAGUUAAAAUAUACAUCCCUAUCCAAUUUGUAGACUAAAAAAAUCUCAAAACGUUAUUGUAAUUAGGCUUAUGAUAAUGAGUGAUUCUAGAUAGUCAGAUGUGAGUUUGCCAUAACUAAAUGAAGACCUACUCCGAACAAAUUAUAUGGAUGGUUGUAUUUAUCGACUAGUAAGACAUGUGUAGGCCCAAGAGGAGGUCUAGUCAUGCCAGACCAGGAUAGCAACUCAAAAGAACCAUAAAUUUUGAUUUGAUCGUUGGAUCAUGCUCAAAUUUUUAUAGGAUUUUUUAGAUGCCAUUUUACCUAGGGCAACCUUACUGGGCUACACUAACCAUCACAUCUUUGGACAUAAAAAAAUCUCAUCGAGGACCUUUGGUUUUGGCAAUUUUGUGAUUUUCCUUGUUACUUUCAGAACCGGUCAACUAGUUUCACUAACUAUUAUGAACUAGUCGAUCGAUUGAGCAUGACAAUUAUCUUGUCAUGCUUCAGAAGCACCACAUUUACUUCAGAAGCGUGACAUCUACUAAAUGUUGCUAUUCUGAAAUGUGACAACUAUUUUGUCGUGUUUUGAAAUAUCGACAUUUAGUAAAUGUUGUGUUUCUAAAGGGCGAUAAGGUGAAAGUGUGCUAUUCCACAAAAAAAAUUUGCUUUUGUGUCAUUUCAUCAUUUAUUUUAAUUUGUGUGUUAAUUUCCUAAUUUAUCCUACGCCAGAAAGGAAUUGGAGUUGUGAUGGAUGCAAAAUUCUCAACAAGAAAUAACUAAGAAGGUAUAAUUCAUCGUGAUUGACACGAGGGUGAUUGAGGGGAAAAGUCUUGGUACGUGAAUCAAGGUUGUCAAUUCCAUUUCGUUCACUCCCCCGUCAUUGAAAGGAGGGUGGUUGAGGGGAAAAAUCUUGCUAUGUGAAACUUCGAGUGACGGACCAAUGUUUCCAUCAAUGACUCAAGUGUCUGUGAAGGAAACGAAAAUAAUGGGGCUUUGACAAGUUCUUUAACCUCUCAAGCAGUAUUUAAGUCCUGUUUGUCUACAUGGCCAACUCGCUAUCAGUUGAGAAGGGAGGAAAGAAAAGUAAAGGGCUCUUUCCUGUUGUCUUGCUCGGGAUACCGUGAACGAAACGGUCCAUAUUUUUGUCAUUAGACUAGAGGAGGUUGUUGGGUUAUUUCCAGAACUCAAACACACACAAUUUACGUGGUUCGGCAACUUGCCUACUCCACGGAGCUACUGGGUUGUAUUAAUUACUCAAAGAAACAAUACAACAACAAAGGAGGAGGAGAUAAAACUCAACUCAACUCAACUCUACUCUCUCAAGCUCUCUGUUCUCUCUUCUCUCUGUGUUUCACUCUCUGCAACUCAUCAGUUCUUCACGCUACAAUGACACACAGGGGGCACAUACAUAAAUAUACAAAUAAUGGGAGUGGGGGUGUCCUCCACCAUGUGCAAAGUGGGGGAUUAGUUAUUCCACUUGCACAUGGUGGGGCAAUUGUUGUCUCCAUAAUGCUAACAAUCUCCCACUUGGAGACAAACAAUGAAAUCCUUUUUAUCCUUGAAGGCCGACUGAAGUUUUACACAACUUCAGUUUAUCAAGUGUAACUCCUUUGGUUAACAUGUCGGCUGGGUUCUUGCUUCCACAGACCUUUUCUAGCAUUAGUUGCUCGUCGUCCAGCAGUUGUCGGAUGAAGUGAUAUUUGAUCUGAAUAUGCUUCGUCCUGGAGUGAAAUGCUGGAUUCUUGGCAAGGAAGAUUGCACUCUGACUGUCGCUAUAUAAAGUACCUUUUCCAUUCAACUUGCCCAAUUCUUUCAAGAAACUCUGCAACCAUACUAUCUCUUUUGCAGAUUCUGAGACUGCAACAUAUUCAGCUUCUGUUGUUGAAAGAGCAACGAUCUUUUGCAAGGUAGAACUCCAGGAAACAGCAGUACCUCCUAGAGUAUAAACAUAUCAUGUAGUGCUCUUUCUGCUAUCAACAUCUCCUGCUAGAUCAGCAUCUACAAAACCUUCAAGUUUCAAACCACCAGUUGUGAAACUAAGACAAGUUUCUGAUGAACCUUUUAAGUACCUCAUGAUCCAUUUCACCGCCUCCCAAUGUUGCUUUCCAGGAUUGCUCAUAUAUCGGCUUACAACUCCCACUGCAUGGGCAAUGUCUGGUCUGGUACAGACCAUAGCAUACAUCAAAGAGCCGAUAGCUGAGGCGUAUGGAAUCUUAUCCAUGUAUCCACUUUCUAGCUCAGUUUUGGUGACUGAUCUUUGCUGAGCUUGAAAUGAUUCCCCAGUGGUGUACUUACUGGUUUAGCAUUAUCCAUACUAAACCUGCUGAGAACCUUCUUGACAUACUCUGUUUGUGAGAGCUUUAGUAUGCCUUUGUCUUUAUCUCUGAUGAUUCUCAUGCCAAGUAUUUGUUUAGCAGCUCCCAGAUCCUUCAUUUCAAACUGUUUCGACAACUGCUGUUUCAGCUUAUCAAUCUCCUCAAUGCUGGAUCCUGCAAUCAACAUAUCAUCUACAUAUAAUAGUAGAAUGAUGUAGGAGUUGUCAAAAUGUUUGACAUAGCAACAAUGAUCAGCUUGGCAUCUUGUAUACCCGGAACUGCACAUGAAGUUGUCAAACUUCUUGUACCACUGUCUUGGAGCUUGCUUCAAACCGUAUAGGCUUUUCUGUAGCUUGCAGACUUGAUUCUCCUUUCCUUGCAUUGCAAACCCCUCUGGCUGUUGCAUGUAAAUAUCUUCCUCCAAGUCACCAUGAAGGAAUGCUGUUUUUACAUCUAACUGUUCAAGAUGUAAAUUUUCUGCAGCUACUAUCCCCAGAACAACUCUGAUUGUUGUGAGCUUCACAACUGGAGAAAAAAUCUCAGAGUAGUCAAUGCCUUUCUUCUGUUGAAACCCUUUGACAACAAGUCUUGCCUUGAACCGUUUGCUUCCGUCAUGCUCAGUCUUCACUCUGUAACCCACUUAUUUUGCAAGGCCUUCUUUCCUUCAGGUAAUGUUGUUAGCUCCCAAGUCUUGUUCUUCACAACGAACUCAUCUCAUCCUUCAUGGCUAACUCCCACUUGCUUGAGUUUCCAUCUUGUAAGGAUUCUUCAUAAGAUAACGGUUCACCACCAUCUGUCAGCAAAAUAUAAUUCAGUAAAAGUGUGAACCGUUGCGGGGGCUUUAUCGUCCUCGAAGACCUGCGAACAGCUGGUUCAAGUUGCUCGCAUCUUCUUGUGUGUGUGGGCACAGAUGUGCUUGAAUCUUCUUGUAAAGACUCUUGAUUGUUGUUCUGCUUAGUAACAUCGGGAAGCCCUUCUAAUCUUAUGAAUUCAGAUCUUUGUGGACUUGUAUCUGAAUCAGCCAUCUCUGUUUCUCCACUUGAUCUGUCUUUGUACAUAACUUUCUCAUUGAAGAUCACGUUCCUGCUUCUGAUAAUCUUUCUAUUCUGAUCAUCCCAGAACCGAAAUCCAAAUUCUUCAUCUCCAUAGCCAAUGAAGAAACAUUUCUUGGAUUUGGCAUCUAACUUGUUGCGAGCAUCAGAAUCUAUGUGAACAUAGGAAACACACCCAAAGACCUUCAAAUGAGAGAGUGGUACCUCUUUUCCUCUCCAUACUUCCUCGGGCAGUCUGAAUUCCAAAGGAACUGAUGGUCCACGGUUGAUCAAGUAAACUGCGGUAUGAACUGCGUCAGCCCAGAAUGUUUGAGGUAACCCAGAAUGCAACCUCAUGCUUCUAGCUCGUUCAUUGAUGGUCCUGUUCAUCCGUUCAGCAACGCCAUUCUGUUGCGGUGUGCCUGGAACGGUCUUUUCCAUUCUGAUACCAUUGACAGCACAAUACUCCUUGAAACCUCCAUCAAUGUAUUCUCCUCCAUUAUCAGAUCUCAAGCAUUUCAACUUUAGACCUGAUUCAGUCUCAACCAUAGCCUUCCAUUUCUUGAAUGUUUCAAACACAUCAGAUUUAUUUUUCAGAAAGUAAACCCAUACCUUCCUGCUGAAAUCAUCAAUGAAAGUCACAUAAUACCGAGAACCUCCAAGAGAUGCUACUGGAGACGGUCCCCAUAAAUCUGUGUGUACCAGUUCUAGCUUGCUUGGUCUUAAGGUCCUGCCAACCUUCAAGAAACUGACCUUCUUCUGUUUUCCAAGAACACAGCUUUCACAAAUGUCUAGAUCGACAUUUUUUAACUCUGGCAGCUUUCCCUUCGACUGAAGUAUCUUCAUCCCCUUUUGACUCAUAUGGCCAAGUCUACAAUGCCAUAGAUGUGCUUGAUUUUCUGCUUCAGUUGAGGCAAUGAUGUCUGCAAAUCUUGUGGUCAUAUACAGGGUGCCGGUUUUCUUUCCACGAGCUAAAACCAUUGCUCCCUUUGAUACUUUCCACAUUCCUCCAGCAAAAAGUAUUGAAUGACCACUAUCAUCAAGUUGUCCGACAGAGAUCAACUUUUCUUUAAUUCAGGAACAUGCCUUACAUUCUGCAAGGUCCAUAUAGAUCCAUUCAUUGUCUUGAUUUGCACAUCUCCUAUACCCACAAUUCAGUGGUGUUCCAUCGGCCAGAUAGACUACACCAUGAUCUCCUCCAACAUAAUUUUGCAGCAUUUCAUUGUGUGGCGUACAGUGGAAUGAAGCACCAGAAUCAAGAAUCCACUCAUCAAUUUGACUUUGUACAGCAAGAAUUAAAGCAUCUUGUACCUCAUCUGUGGUAGCGUUUGCAGAGUCAGCUUCAGGUUUCUUCGGUUUUGUGCAAUUCCUACUGAAAUGACCAGGUUUGCCACAAUUCCAACAUUCAACCUGCUUUCUGGAUCCAAACUUGCUUUUACUUCUGUAUCUGGAUUUUGAUCUGCCUCUGGAUGAGCCUCUAUCGUGUCUCCUCCCUCGAGUGUUGAUGUUGAGAGCUGAUCCUGAGCUUGAACUUUCACCCGAGUCUUUCCUUCGCACUUCUUCAGCCAAAAUCAAGUCUCGAAUGUCAUCAUACUUCAGUUUGGAUUUUCCAGCUGAAUUGCUCACGGCUGUCCUCAUGCCUUCCCAACUGCUUGGAAGUGAAGCUAGCAAGAUGAGUGCACGAAUCUCAUCAUCAAACUCAAUCGCAACAGAUGAUAAUUGAUUUGUGAUGGUAUUAAAGUUGUUGAGGUGUUGUGUCACAGAAGUGUUUUCGACCAUCUUCAAGUUGAACAACUUUUUCAUCAGGUGCACUUUAUUAUUUGCUGAUGGCUUCUCAUACAUCCCAGACAAGGCUUCCAUCAAUUUUGCAGUGGAUUUUUCUUUCGUAACAUUGUGAGCAACUCUUCUUGAUAACGAUAGCCUGAUAAUGCCCAGAACUUGUCUAUCAAGAAGUUGCCAUUCUUCUGCUUCCAUCUUUUCUGGUUUGCUUCCCAAUAAGGGAAGAUGAAGGUUCUUCCCAUAUAAAUAAUCCUCAAUUUGCAUUUUCCAGUAUCCAAAAUCUGUUCCGUCAAAUUUUUCAAUUCCAGCAGCCUUUAUUUCAUCUGCCAUUUUUAUUAAUUCUCCGAUUCGAAUUUCCCAAAUCUGACCUUACAGAUGUGUCCGGAACGGCCAAAAACCUUGGAAAUGACACUGAGAUCACCCCAAUCGGACUUCGGAUGGCUCAGAUUUUAGCAAUCAAAGUUUUGGAUUAACGGACGGUUCAGAUGCAGCCGCGUGUCAGCCAGAGUACCGCCUGCGUCGCACCGGAUAAAAACUCAGUAGCGGUUCUGAUGAAGACACGUGUCAGCAGAUUACAGCCUGCGUCGCACCGGAUCAAAACUCAGUAACGGUGCAGAUUAAGCCACGUGUCAGCCGAUUAGUGCCGACACUGAUCAAACUCAAACGGUGCAGAUUCAGCCACGUGUCACGAUUAGAGCCUGAGUCGCACCGGAUCAAAACUCAGUAACGGUCAGAUUAGCCACGUGUCAGCGAUUAGCCUGCGUCGCACCGAUCAAAACUCAACGGUGAUGAUGUAGCCACGUGUCAGACGAUUACCGUCUGCGGUGCACUGGAUCAAAACCCAGAUGGAUGACGUGGCAGGUGACGUGGCGUUGACCGUGCGACUUGCUGACGUGGCGGGUCAGACCCGACCCGUUUUGCAGAAACGGGCGAAGAAGGAGCGUGCGCGCGAGGCGCGUUGUGCGCGUGGGCAGUCGUGCGGUGCGCGUGUGGGCGCGUGCGGGCAUGCAGGACGUCGGUUCUUUGCCGGGUUUUCACUAGUGGAUUCGUCCGGUUGUCCUCUACACGAUGGUAUGGUCAAAAACACGUUUUGAGAACAUUGAUUUUUGAGUUUGGAUCAAACACCCUCUUUGUCAAGAACAAGCUCUGAUACCAGUUGUUGGGUUAUUUCCAGAACUCAAACACACACAAUUUACGUGGUUCGGCAACUUGCCUACUCCACGGAGCUACUGGGUUGUAUUAAUUACUCAAAGAAACAAUACAACAACAAAGGAGGAGGAGAUAAAACUCAACUCAACUCAACUCUACUCUCUCAAGCUCUCUGUUCUUUUCUCUUCUCUCUGUGUUUCACUCUCUGCAACUCAUCAGUUCUUCACACUACAAUGACACACAGGGGGCACAUACAUAAAUAUACAAAUAAUGGGAGUGGGGGUGUCCUCCACCAUGUGCAAAGUGGGGGAUUAGUUAUUCCACUUGCACAUGGUGGGGCAAUUGUUGUCUCCAUAAUGCUAACAGAGGUUACACGAGAUUGUAGCUCUCCUACGCGAAACUUCACAUGAGGACCAAGAAUCUCUCUGUUGACAUAGCAUUCACAACUAAUAUGAAUAGGCAUAUGGUAACAUGUUGAUUUUGGAAAUCUAGAACUGGCAGAAAAACUAGAUUCUAUGAAAUGAAUUUUAAUUAAAUGGUCGCCCUCUUAAUGCUUAUGCCAGAAGGGACUAGGAGUCAUUAUGGAUGCGAAAUUCUCAACAUGUGUAUUUGAAUGCAUUAUAUUUAAAUUGUGUUAUUAAUUCUUUUCUUCAUAAAAAGCUACAUACCAUUAACAAGAGAAAAGGAAACAGAAAUCUAAAUUUGUUUGCUGGGUCUAUGCUCUAAUUAGGUUUAGUUAUGUGUGCUUCUAUUAAUUUCUCUAAAUUCUAUAUAUGUAUUGGCCAGGAAAAAAAAUAUCACACUGCAUAAAUUUAUUUUAGAGAAUAACAUAUAUAUAUUUGAAUUUGUUAGGACAACUUGACUAGUGCAACAAGACAAAAAAAGAAGAAGAAAAAAGAAAAAGAAAGAUAGUUGGUCGAGAUAAAAGGACAAGGAACUAAAAAACGCAACUUCGUUAUACCAAAAAAAAUGCUAGAAAAAUACUUUCUCAUCGUCAAUGUAAAAAAGGAGGAAUCCAAACGCAUAUACAAGUCCAAAUCGGCUAUUAUAAAAAAUUACAUUACUGAGUGUCUUUUUCUUCUUCUUCUUCUUCUUUUUUGCUUUUUAUUUUGUUUUUUUAAGUUCUUUUUUCUUUUUUCUUUGUUUUUUUUAAUCUAUUUCUUUUCUUUGUUUUUUUUUUAAUGAAUGUUUUUUUCAAUUUUUUUUUUGUUAAUGUUAAAUUCUUUUCUAUUUAGUUAUUAAAUUUUUAUAAUACAGAUUCCGGUUUUGAUGGGUUAACCCAUAUUUGUUUUUCUGGUUUUUUUUUUUAAUUAAUUUUUUCGAGUGCAGCCCACAGUGAAACGCUUAGCUAUCUUUUUUUUUUCUACUUUGUUUUUUUGAGCUGUUUUUUUCUUUUGCUUUUUUCUUUGUUUUUUUUUAAGUUGUUUUGUUUUCUUUGUUUUUUUUAAUGAAUUUUUUUUGUUUACUUUUUUUUUGUUAAUGUUUAAUUUUUUUUUAUUUAGUUAUCAAACUUUCAUUACAUGGGUUCCGGGUUUGACUAGUUAACCCAGAUUUUUUUUCUGAUUUUUUCUUUUUAAUUAAUUUUUUCGUUUAAUUUAGUUUGUUAAUUUUAAUUUUUUUUUAUUUAGUUAUCAAACUUUCAUGACACGGAUUCCGGGUUUGACGGGUUAACCCAUCUAAUUCUGGGUUAACCCGUAAUUUUUUUUUCCUAUUCAGUUAUCAAACUUUCAUGACACGAAUUCCAGAUUUGACGGGUUAACCUGGUUUGAAGGGUUAACCCAUAGUUUGUUUUUCCUAUUCAGUUAUCAAACUUUCAUGACACGAAUUCCAGAUUUGACGGGUUAACCUGGUUUGAAGGGUUAACCCAGUUAAUUCAUAUUUUUUUUCUUUUUCUUCAUUAGUUUUUUUCCUAUUUAAUUAAUGUUAAAAGAAUGAAGCAGCUGAAUAAAUUGAGUAAUUAUUACCAAUGAAAAUUAUUGAUAAUUUAUAUGAAAUUACCAGAAUUAUAUAAAAGACCGCUUCAACUUUUUUAACCUGGUUGCUCUGUCUCAACUAGUCGGGCGGUUCAAUUAAUUUCUAGAAAUCAGUUUACUUUCAGCAUUUUCACUAUCUUUCCCUUACAACCGAAGGAAGCAUAUCUUAGAAUAUCUCAUGGAUUUGGACUGGAUUGGGUGUUUUGGUUUUUGAUGAGAUGCUCCAAGAAAAAUAUCAGGCUCGCUGGAUGUCGUUGUUUGUGGUAUUGACAGUUGAUGACUUUUUUUUUUUUUUUACUUUUCAAAGUUAAUGAUUCUGACAUUUCGAAGGAGGUGGGAAAUUAUCUUCGUCUGUGAAGUAGUGUUGAAUGGUGGAUCAAUAACUCACUGUCUGCUUUGCUACUAUUCCUAUCCCAUGACUCUGACAUUUCAAAGGACGACCAGGUAGGGGUGUUCUCCUUCACCUUUUCAUUGCAUUACCGGUAGCUUCCACUCCGAAAUUCAAUAGUUUUUGUUGGAGAAAAAAGAAAAGGAAAAAAGAAGAACAGUUUGUGCAAAAAUUGCGUAUACACUGUGUAUCACUUCAGCCUUCCCCAUGUUUAGAGGAAUGAACGUCCUUUUGGCUUGCUACAUAGCUUUUCUUUUACAGCUAUUAGUCUUCCAAACUUGCCAUUCUAGCACCAUCACUACUCAUAGUGCUCCUUCUUCAUGCGGCAAUAUCCAAAACAUAAGAUACCCUUUCAGACUACACACUGAUCCACAAAGCUGCGGAAACAAUAAUUAUGCUCUGAUUUGCGAGAACAAUAUUUCUACAGUAUUAUGUUUGUAUUCAGGUAAAUACUACGUGCAGGCAAUCAACUACGGUAACUACACAAUCCGAGUGGUAGAUGCUGGUGUACAAGAUAAUUGCUGCUCCAUCCCUCGUUAUUCUUUGGCACCUGAUGACUUCAGUUACGGAGAUCCAUACACAUGGUAUAACUACCAGGUGCCGCCGCCGGGAGUGAGUGAACUUUUCGUGGACUAUUGGGGGUACUGGUACUUAACUCCACUAUCACAGCCUAUGAUUUUCAUGAGCUGUGAAAAUACGGUGAAUUCAACUCUCUAUGUGGACACUGUUGGAAUAUUGCCAAUUAUGUUUACAUUGUCAAAGAAGGAGGCUUGUUGGUGGCAACCACCAACCUUGACUUUGGUAGCCAUCUUUGUUGAAGAAGAGAUGAGUUUGGCAGCCACCAUUGAUGACAAAGUAGCAAGAGGAGCUGUCAUUGAAGCCUAUAAAUAGACACCAAGAGUGCAUCACAAAAUGAGAGAGAGAGUCUUGUAGGAGAGCUACAAAAGAGAGAAGAAGAGAGAAAGAAAGAGAAGGGCUGCCACCAGCAGCUGCUGCCCUAUGUAGCAAAGAGAGAUGGGAGUUGAGUGAUGAGAUCCUCCUUCAUGUAUUAUUGUAUUCUUUCUCUAUCUCUAAAUAAAAUGAACCUCUCCCGUGGAUGUAGGCAAUUUGCCGAACCACGUUAAAUAUUGUGUCUCAGUGUGCUUACCCCUCCUAUGAGCAAAGAUCAGUACAUCACCGGUCCCGGAUUCCGCACAACAAUUGGUAUCAGAGCCCCGUUCGUCGGAAAACAGAAGAGUUUUGGGGUAUAUCCGAAUUUUCAAAGUUGUCCAAAACAAGUUUUGAUCAUUCCAAAGUGUAGAGCUCAUCAAGACGAACUCACUGCCGCAAAAAUCAGCCAAAUCGGAGUUCGGGGUAGCCCACACGCGCCGCCUGAAUAUUCAGCCAGAUCGCCGGUCCCGGAUUCCGCACAUCAGACACGGCUCCCUACGGCCUUAACUACGGAUCAAUAAAUUAUUCCAACUCUUCUCUUGUGACUCGUUCGAAUUAUGUGACUCUUGGGGGCAUGAAGGCCUCGGAUUUGAUGGAACUGUGCACCAUAGAGAAAAUAUUUUUUCUUCCAAAGAAGAACUACACAGACAAUUACUCCUUUGAAGAAAUACACAGUGACCUGGCAUAUGGGUUUGAGCUUUCAUGGUACAACAUCUACUGUGAAAAUUGCACAAGGGGUUGCUACAUCAACAGCUCAGACCAUCGUCAAUAUUGCAUUCCCGCAGAACGUAUGUAACACUUGAUGAUUAAGUUGCAUCACUUUGAUUCAUAAGACCAUAUAUAACUUGUGAUUUGAGGUGGUUUCAUAUAUUUUCUCUGGCUUACUUUUCAAUUUUCAUUUUUUUCUGCGCAUUAGCACAAUAUUGCACUGUCCCCAGAAGUUCAUGUACAAAUUCUGUGCAUCCAUUACCUGUGGAUUCUACUAUAGUGGACUGAUCAUAAGAUUCAUUCAUGUUCAUAUUGUAAAAUAUUCUGACUAUAAUGUGGUUUAAGGUAGUUGGACAGAUUCAUUGGUCUUUUGCAAUUUCAGGAUUGACACAGUGAAACGUUUGGUUCAUCUUAACUUGAACAUGGAUACACAUUAAUUAGUUCAAGUCACAUUAUUAAAUUGUGUGCGCUCUUUUCUAUUUUCUUUUGCAUUUACUAUUGCGUAUACCAUUAGAACUCGUUUCUUAACCUAAAGCUUCAACAGAUAAUUUUGACACAGUGAAACGUUUGGUUCAUCUUAACUUGACCAUGGAUACACAUUAAUUAGUUCAAGUCACAUUAUUAAUUAAAUUGUGUGUGCUCUUAUCUAUUUUCUUUCGCAUUUACUGUUGCGUAUACCAUUAGAACUCUUUUUAAACCUAAAUUCUCGACAGAUUUUGGUGAAAGCUUCUGGGAAACACUACUCUACGCAGUGAUAGGUGCGAAUUCUCCUUCUGCAUCUCACCUUGUUUGUGUAUUCUUAAGUGUUUCUUCAAACGACUUAUUUGUGAAAUAAGGAUUGUUGUUUCUUGAAUAGUAAUUGUAAUUUUGUUCACCAUUUUCUGCAGGUUAUAUCCAUUUUAUUUGGUAAGAGAUUCCAUCAUUUCUUUAGUUUCGCAACAAAUUUCUAGUGGAGACAACAAAUAAGAUCACAAAACUUGAUUGUUUUCUGGAAAUUUCCUACACAGCACUGCUUCAUGGGCUAAAAGUUGUUUGUGGGACUCCAUGUGUGAUUAUAUUUUUGAUCUACAAAUGGCGAAGGAGACAUUUAUCAGUAUACGAUACAGUUGAACAAUUCCUACAGGGUCAGAAUAACCUUAUGCCAGUAAGGUAUUCCUACUCAGAUAUCAAGAAGAUUACUAGAGGUUUCAAGGAGAAAUUAGGUGAAGGAGGCUUUGGUACAGUUUACAAAGGAAAGCUUCGCAGUGGGCGUUUUGCAGCAGUAAAAUUGUUGGGAAAAUCAAAAGCUAAUGGACAGGAUUUCAUAAAUGAAGUUGCUACCAUAGGAAGGAUUCACCAUACUAACGUGGUGCAGCUAAUCGGUUUUUGCGCUGAAGGAUCAAAGCGAGCUCUUGUAUAUGAUUUCAUGCCUAAUGGAUCUCUUGAUAGACACUUGUUUUCUCGAGAAGGAUCAAUCUCUUUAAGCUGGCAAAAACUGCAUCAGAUUUCCCUUGGAGUGGCUCGUGGUAUCGACUAUCUUCAUUUAGGUUGUGACAUGCAAAUACUUCAUUUUGAUAUCAAGCCUCACAACAUUCUUCUCGACGAAAAUUUCACUCCAAAAGUUUCUGACUUCGGGCUCGCUAGGUUGUACCCCACUAAUGGCAGCAUAACAUCUCUUACUGCAGCAAGGGGCACCAUAGGAUACAUGGCUCCUGAACUGUUCUACAAAAACAUUGGACGUGUCUCCUAUAAAGCUGAUGUUUAUAGCUUUGGAAUGCUGCUAUUGGAAAUGGCAGGCAAAAGGAAGAAUGUAAACGCAUUGGCAGAAAAUUCAAGUCAAAUCUACUGGCCAUAUUGGGUUCAUGACCAAGUAUCUGAUGGAAAGGCCAUAGAAAUCGGAGACGAUGCCACGGAGGAAGAACGUAAGAUCGUCAAGAAGAUGAUUAUGGUUGGAUUGUGGUGUAUACAAAUGAAACCCAUGGAGCGGCCUACAAUGAAGAAUGUUGUGGAGAUGCUUGAAGGAGAUUUGGAAAACUUGCAAUUGCCUCCUAAGCCUGUCUUCAAUCUAGAUGUGACGCCACCAAACAUUGAAGGAGAGUCAUCAUCGUUGUCAGGGAUUCUACCGAAUCAACCAGUUUGGUUGAAAAUGCAUACUAAGUGAUAUGAUGUGGAAUGCUCUGCUUACAUGCAGGGAAAAUGAUAGAAUAAUGGUGCUUUCGGACUUGGUUGUGAUGAUUUAGUCUGCAAACAUUAUGAUAAUUUGCAAUACUUCCUUUUAUCUGAUUUGUGUUUAGCUAAUUUAGAGUUCAAGCUGCGGCUUGUUUCUUCGGUUUGGUCUAUAUAAUCAUCAUACAAAGAUAUUCUGUAUUGGCAAUCAUAGCAGUUGGCGAGGAUGGAACAUCCUCCAUGAUAACUGUUCCAUGUUCUACAUAUUAAUUAUCCUAUUUGUCUCCAGCAGAGUAAUAUUUUGGCUACAAAUUAACAAGAGACUAUCACAGGGAUUAUAUAAACAAGUUGAUGCAUGAAAAGACGAGUCUCUAUUUAUAGGCAGCCACUAAAAGUAGCUUCGGAGACCACAAAUACAAGUCAAGUCUCUCUAGUAAUCCUUCCACUACAAGUAGCUUAAUUUCAUUUUCUUCCACCAACAAUGCCUUCGUGUCAAUGUUCAGCCCCAUGAUAAUCGAUCUGGCGUCACCAUUUGCACAUUACCAUAUCUUGCAUAAGCCACGAGGAACCAAUCACAACAAAACAUUGAAAACCAUGACCAUAACGUGUGCUGUGAAAUGAAUAUUGAAACAGAUGGGUGAAUUUGAUGCAGAAAUCUUCUCUUUCUCCAAAAAAAAGAAAAAACGAAAGGUAGAGAGGAGACAAUGAAGCUCGCUUACCGGUCUUGGCAUUUCACCGGAGAGCUCUGCUUCUAACUGUGAAAUGCGUCUUCUUGUGGGCAAGAGGCAAGGUCUUCAAAAAUGCUCAACUGUGUUCAACAAACUUUCAGGAUCUACUUCAAUUUUCUCAAGAGAAUGGGAAAUAGUGACAAUCAAUUUACACCCAUUUGUUCUACGAGAUAUUCCCACUUUCUCAGGAUGAAAAUCAUCCCACAAAUCAUCAAGAAUGAUGACAUGGUUUUGUAUCACACUCAAUGCUGUCCAUAGCUCCAGCUCUACUCGUCACAUCUUUUCUUUUCGGAAGACAUAAACCAAAAGCUUCGGCAAUGAGAUCCUGCAAUGCGUGAAUGCUCAAUUCUUGUGAAAGAAAAUGUCUGGUUUAUCUUGAAGCUGAUUAUGGAUAUGUGCAGCCAAAGUUGUCUUUCCCACUCCUCCCAUCCCGUAAAUGCCAAUGCAUGAGACCUCACCACUCAACAACCAAGACCAGACAUCCUUCAUAUUUCUUUCAAUAGCUUGACCCACUAGCUUCGUUGUCGGGACUACAUAUCUUUUAGUCCUACGUCGCUUAUGUACAGGCCUUUUAGAAUAGCUUACCGUGUAAAUUCUCAAGUCAUGUUCUCUAUAUAAAUUCUUAACAAAACAUCCCUCGUUGAUGAGGAUGAGAUGUUAUUCGAGAUCAUUUCAAAUGCCUGACAUGUUUUCUCUGUUCUCUGUCUAGGCUCGGGUUCAUCUGGCAUAAGUACAACAUGAGCUCUAGGUUCCUCAACAAUCCCAGUCUCCCCCCUGAUCCAGAUAUCCAUCCAUCCUAGGCUCUCAUCAAAAAGAGGAGGUUCUUCUUGAUCCAUUUCUAAACACCGCGCAGGAGUUGAAGCUGCAUUAAUUGCCUCGUUAUUGCUUGAACUUGGCACGCUCUUAUCUACAGGCCUGUUAGAAGAGCUUCCUCUCUCAGCAACAGACUGCAUCAAUUCCCAAGUCAUGUUCUCUAUACCACUGCUCGACUCAACAAUAUCCUUCAUCAAGGAAGAUGAGAUGUUAUUCAUAUCCAUUUCAAAUGCUUGACCUGCUGGCUCUGUUCCCAAUCCAGUCUCAGGUGCAUCAGGCAUAAGUAUUUUAAAAUUAAAAUAUCAAAAGAUUUAAUUGUUGAAUUGAAUUCAAUGUUUUUUUAAGUGAUUAAAAAGACAAUUUUCCUCCAAGAAGCGAUUGUGUCCCUUUUUGCACCGUUUGAUCUUUCAAAAUCAGGUUUAAAGCCUUCGUGCUCUUAUUUAUUUAGAUCAAUUCUGUUAUUUUCUCUAGAAUGUUUUAUUUUUUAAAAAAAAAAAAAAUUGGACUUUGAGUUGUCUCCUACUAGAGGUAGAUUAAAAAGGCAAUUCUCCUAGGCGCUUAGACUUCUGGCAUAAGAACGACAGGAGCUCUAGGUUCCUCGACAAGCUCAGUCUCCCCCCCAAUCAGAAAACCCUCCCGUCCUCGUUCAUCCGAAAGAGGUUGUUCUUCUUGUUCCAUUUCUAAGCCCCGCAAAGCAGUUGAAGCUGCAUUAAUUCCCUCGUUAUUGCUUGAACUUGGCACACUCUUAUCUAAAAGCAUUUUAGAACAGCUUCCUCUCUCAGUAACAGCCUACAUCAAUUCUAUACCACUGCUUAGCUCAACAUCCCUCGUCAAUGAAGAUGUGAUGUUAUUCAUAUCCGUUUCAAAUGCAUGAACUGCUGGCUGUGGCUCUAUUCCCAAUCCCGUCUCAGGUGCAUCAGGCAUAAGCAUGCUAGGAACCAUGGUCUCCUCAGUAAGCACAAUCUCUCCCCCAGUCAUCCCAUCCAUCCAUGAAAAAUCAUCCAAAAGAUGUUGUCCUUGUUGCAUUUCUAAAUCUUGCGCAGGAUCUGAAUCUGCAGCAACUAUUAUAUUAUUGCUUGAACUUGGCAUACUCGCACGCAUUCUGUCAGGAAGCUUAUCAAACGCUGCUCGCUGAACAUCUGGAGUUACUUUUUCACAAAUUUUAACACCACCCCGUUCAACUCUUGCCAGAUGAUAUUUCAUCCUUGUAGUGGAAGUUCUUCCAGCUAAUGUCUUCCCACAAAAAAUGCACUUCAAUAAACCACCAUCCACUUUCUCAAAAUAACACUGAAAUGGAUCACUUCCUCCAACCAUUUUUUCUUCUGUGUCCCUACCUACAGACAUAACAAAGAACUUUCAGAAAAUUGAAUUAAAAUGGAACUUAAACUAAUUGAAAAAAAGAAGAAGCUAAGUUUAAGAUUAAAAAAAAUUGAUUACAGGUGUUUCACUGUCUAAACCAAAGUCAAGUUAAAUCACUCCAAAGAUCAAAGUGUUCUUCUCUUUUUACUUUCCCAAUAAUUCUACAACUGGUCAUAUCAGUAAUUUAAUAACCAGCAUGUUUCUUUUUUCUUAGAAGAAUCAAACUACAUGAGUUGGAAAAGAAAUGGUGUGAAAUUAGAGCUAAUUAAAAUUAAUCAAACUUAAUUACCUGAGCAGCAGAUGCAGCAAGAUGUUAUCCAAUUAUUUGAUUAAAUCAGAAGAAAGAAGAUGACAGUAAGUGUGUUGGAGACGCGUGAUAGAGCUUCGGCUUGUGUGGUUGUGGAUAAGGAUAGAUUCAGACAGUCAGAGAAGCAGAUGACAGUGAAAAAAAGUAAAAUGGAUUUCUGUCGUUCAUCCGGCGAGGGGUGCUCUAGUGAAGGUGUGGGGGUAGGCGGUGGCUGAUGAUAGUCUCCUCGUGUGGUGGACAGCACGCCAACUUUGCAAACGAUGAGAAAGAGCACGAUCCACCACAAAACAGCAGAAGAGAAAGCAGUAGGCCGAGGGAAGAAAAGGGAGCAGAGUUGACCGAGAGAGAAGUAGAGCUGACCUAGAGAGCGGUAUCUUCACAAAUGGAGAGGUUUGUGUUUUCUGUAGG